CCAAAGGCUCUUUUCAGAGCCGCCUAGAAUCUCAAUUAGAAGCGCU
rfam:Myotis lucifugus cont2.57865, whole genome shotgun sequence.